ensembl:lncRNA
AAAGAUACAUUCUUAUGCUUGAAUAUAGGCACUUAACUAACAUGACUAGAGAAUCAUAACUAUGCUAAUAUGAGCUGGGAAACAUACAAACACACAGGAAUAUAUCGUAUACAUUUAGAAUGGCUUAUAUCCUGAGUUAAAUGCAAGAAGGUUUGAGUGUGUGUGUGUGUGUGUGUGUGUGUGUGUGAGAGCUGGCUGCUCAGCCGGGCCCAUUAGGUGUCUGGCAUCGAGGGAUAUCUAGUUAUCUCGGAAUGUGUUUGAAGUUGGAUCGGGAGACCUUAAGGAAGGUCUGCCCAGUAUCUUCCAGAUAAUGGGGGUAAACCUUGCCAUUAAGCACUCAUAUAAAUGUAUACUAUGGGGCCAGAUUCUGUAAUUUAUAUGCAAAUGUCAAAAGGCUAAAGGAAUCCCUACAACAUAAAGCCCAAAUGAUUGUACAUGAUCUUAAGCAGAUGCUACAUAAGUUAAUUUAAAAUAUAAUUUGUGUAAAAUAUAAAGUGUUGCACAUUUUAUUGGUACAGAGGUGGUUAUGUGUAUUUUGUAAAAACGUUAGCAACUUCUUUUUAUCAUUUACUUAGAAGCACCACAAUUAAAUUAUCCUUCAUAGGGACUACAGAACAGAUACUUUGAACACACUGAACAACAGUUAGACAGAAAACAAACCCAUCCUUCAUGUUUCCAGAAGUGUGUUUGUUAAACUCGUACCACAUUCUGGUGCCUGUGUCACUGCAGAGGUCAAACUAGAGGUCAAACUAGAGGUCACAGCUGCAGUAGUUGGUCC